UAAAGAUUCAUCGCUAAUAGAUAGGCAUGCGUUCCAUUAGGCAGUUGGCGGGGUAACGGCCCACCAAACCGACGAUGGAUAGGGGUUCUGAGAGGAAGGUCCCCCACAUUGGUACUGAGACACGGACCAAACUCCUACGGGAGGCAGCAGUGAGGAAUAUUGGUCAAUGGGCGUAAGCCUGAACCAGCCAAGUCGCGUGAGGGAUGAAGGUUCUAUGGAUCGUAAACCUCUUUUAUAAGGGAAUAAAGUGUGGGACGUGUCCUAUUUUGUAUGUACCUUAUGAAUAAGGAUCGGCUAACUCCGUGCCAGCAGCCGCGGUAAUACGGAGGAUCCGAGCGUUAUCCGGAUUUAUUGGGUUUAAAGGGUGCGUAGGCGGCCUUUUAAGUCAGCGGUGAAAGUCUGUGGCUCAACCAUAGAAUUGCCGUUGAAACUGGGGGGCUUGAGUAUGUUUGAGGCAGGCGGAAUGCGUGGUGUAGCGGUGAAAUGCUUAGAUAUCACGCAGAACCCCGAUUGCGAAGGCAGCCUGCCAAGCCAUGACUGACGCUGAUGCACGAAAGCGUGGGGAUCAAACAGGAUUAGAUACCCUGGUAGUCCACGCAGUAAACGAUGAUCACUAGCUGUUUGCGAUACAGUGUAA
rnacentral:rRNA from 1 species